UACCAGCUGGCUGCAACUGUUUAUUAAAAACACAGCACUGUGCAAACACGAAAGUGGACGUAUACGGUGUGACGCCUGCCCGGUGCCGGAAGGUUAAUUGAUGGGGUCAGCGCAAGCGAAGCUCCUGAUCGAAGCCCCGGUAAACGGCGGCCGUAACUAUAACGGUCCUAAGGUAGCGAAAUUCCUUGUCGGGUAAGUUCCGACCUGCACGAAUGGCGUAAUGAUGGCCAGGCUGUCUCCACCCGAGACUCAGUGAAAUUGAACUCGCUGUGAAGAUGCAGUGUACCCGCGGCAAGACGGAAAGACCCCGUGAACCUUUACUAUAGCUUGACACUGAACAUUGAGCCUUGAUGUGUAGGAUAGGUGGGAGGCUUUGAAGUGUGGACGCCAGUCUGCAUGGAGCCGACCUUGAAAUACCACCCUUUAAUGUUUGAUGUUCUAACGUGGACCCGUGAUCCGGGUUGCGGACAGUGUCUGGUGGGUAGUUUGACUGGGGCGGUCUCCUCCUAAAGAGUAACGGAGGAGCACGAAGGUUGGCUAAUCCUGGUCGGACAUCAGGAGGUUAGUGCAAUGGCAUAAGCCAGCUUGACUGCGAGCGUGACGGCGCGAGCAGGUGCGAAAGCAGGUCAUAGUGAUCCGGUGGUUCUGAAUGGAAGGGCCAUCGCUCAACGGAUAAAAGGUACUCCGGGGAUAACAGGCUGAUACCGCCCAAGAGUUCAUAUCGACGGCGGUGUUUGGCACCUCGAUGUCGGCUCAUCACAUCCUGGGGCUGAAGUAGGUCCCAAGGGUAUGGCUGUUCGCCAUUUAAAGUGGUACGCGAGCUGGGUUUAGAACGUCGUGAGACAGUUCGGUCCCUAUCUGCCGUGGGCGCUGGAGAACUGAGGGGGGCUGCUCCUAGUACGAGAGGACCGGAGUGGACGCAUCACUGGUGUUCGGGUUGUCAUGCCAAUGGCACUGCCCGGUAGCUAAAUGCGGAAGAGAUAAGUGCUGAAAGCAUCUAAGCACGAAACUUGCCCCGAGAUGAGUUCUCCCUGAGACUUUAGGUCUCCUGAAGGAACGUUGAAGACGACGACGUUGAUAGGCCGGGUGUGUAAGCGCAGCGAUGCGUUGAGCUAACCGGUACUAAUGAACCGUGAGGCUUAACCUUA
rnacentral:rRNA from 2 species